rnacentral:rRNA from 1 species
UACGUAGGUGGCGAGCGUUAUCCGGAUUUACUGGGCGUAAAGGGAGCGUAGGCGGACUUUUAAGUGAGAUGUGAAAUACUCGGGCUCAACUUGAGUGCUGCAUUUCAAACUGGAAGUCUAGAGUGCAGGAGAGGAGAAUGGAAUUCCUAGUGUAGCGGUGAAAUGCGUAGAGAUUAGGAAGAACACCAGUGGCGAAGGCGAUUCUCUGGACUGUAACUGACGCUGAGGCUCGAAAGCGUGGGGAGCAAACAGG